CCCCUCGCGCUCCGCCGGGACUCGAGACGCGCGCUCCCCGCCCCGGCCGCCCGAAAACUCCGGCCCAGCCCGCUCCCGCCUCGCGCCCGCCUCGCGCCCGCUCGCGCGCUCACACCCCCACGCGCGCGCUGACACUCACACACUCGCGCACUCGCACGCCCACGCGCUCCCGCUCGGCCUCACACUCCCACGCGCUCACACUCCCACUCCUGCCCGCUUCCCUGCUGCCGCGCAGGCACCUCGGGCGAGAGCGCCGAGGGGACCCACGGCCUUUCCCAUGGCUGACCUGAGCUUCAUCGAAGAUUCCGUCGCCUUCCCGGAGAAGGAGGAGGAUGAAGAGGAAGAGGAGGAGGGGGUGGAGUGGGGCUACGAAGAAGGUGUUGAGUGGGGCUUGGUGUUUCCUGAUGCUAAUGGGGAAUACCAGUCUCCCAUUAACUUAAACUCAAGAGAAGCUAGAUAUGACCCCUCACUGCUGGAUGUCCGCCUCUCCCCAAAUUAUGUGGUCUGCCGAGACUGCGAAGUCACCAAUGAUGGACAUACCAUUCAGGUUAUCCUGAAGUCAAAAUCAGUUCUGUCAGGAGGUCCAUUGCCUCAAGGGCAUGAAUUUGAACUGUAUGAAGUUAGAUUUCAUUGGGGGAGAGAAAACCAGCGUGGUUCUGAGCACACAGUUAAUUUCAAAGCUUUUCCCAUGGAGCUCCAUCUGAUCCACUGGAACUCCACCCUGUUUGGCAGUAUUGAUGAGGCCGUGGGGAAACCACAUGGCAUUGCCAUCAUUGCUUUGUUUGUUCAGAUAGGAAAAGAGCACGUAGGCUUGAAGGCUGUGACUGAAAUCCUCCAGGAUAUCCAGUACAAGGGGAAGUCCAAAACAAUACCCUGCUUCAAUCCUAAUACUUUAUUACCAGAUCGAAGAAUUUCGCAGGCUGAGGACACAUGUGAAGGGGGCAGAGCUCGUGGAAGGCUGUGAUGGGGUUUUGGGAGACAAUUUUAGACCCACUCAGCCACUUAGUGACAGAAUCAUUAGAGCCGCAUUUCAGUAGCCAGAGAGAAUGGGAACAAGACGGCCUUCACCUGGUGCACAAACCUCCAAGGAUAGAGAAAACAAAAGAGACAGCAGCAAAAAUACUUUGGAAGCUGGAAGCAGAUGGUUGUGACAUGACAGACUUAGCAGAUGUGAGGAACAAGCCUGUUUACGUGAUAAUCUCUCAAAAUCUCAGGAAUUGGUGGCAACAGAUAAUCUCUAGAAGUUGGAGUGAGAGGAGGCUGGAAUCCUGUGUAGUUAAAAGCUGAUGAAGAGAGAAUCUGCCUAUUAGGGGACCUAGGUGCAAUUGAGUAUCAGGAUACCUCUCUGAAAAAUAGGAUAAUUAAAUAAUAUCCUCAUGUCUUGUGUUUGGUCCUCCCCGACUUGGCCUCCAGGACACUGGCAGAAAGGCCUCUACUCUCUAGACUGGGGGCUGGAAGGGUCUUUCUGGAGAAUCUGAGGAACCCCAGGGACUUCUUAAUGAAAUGGCCCAGCUGGUACUUCUAUGGUGAAGGCAGGACAGAUAAAUAAGUGCCUUCUGUGUGCUCGGAGCCUCCACUCUGGAUUUUUGUUGUGGUGGUGGUGGUGUUUUUAUGGUGGUGGUUCCCAUUCUUAGGUAUGAACAGUUACGGACAUUUGAAGAAGGCAUAUAAUACAUAAGAACCCAAAACAAAUAGAAGAAGGCAAGAUAUAAGAAAUAAAUACUUAGGAAAAGUUCAAAAAAUGAUCAUAUCUUCAGAGAGGUAAGGGAAGAGAUUGCAACCAUGAAACAGGAACUGGAUGCUGUGAAGAAAAGGAAUAUUCUAAAAAGCUUUUGGAAACCGAAAACAUGAUAGCAGGAAUGAAAACUUCUAUAGUAGAAUCAGAAAGCAGAACUGAAAUUUCUUAGAAAAUAGAGCAAAACCAGGAGAUAAGAAAAUUGGAGAACCUGCGCAGGAGGUCCAUUGUCCAAAUAAUCAGAAAACGAGAGAGAGAACAGAGAAAAUAGAGGAGAGGAAGCAGCAACAAAAUCAUUUAAACAUUUUCUCAGGACUCAUGGACAUACAUUUACAGUUUGAAAGGACCCAUUGAAUUUCCAGCACGGUUGAUCGAAAUGCAAGGCACUACCAUUGUGAAAUUCCUAGACACGGAGGGAGGAAUUACAGGGAGAAAAAACAUUGAAAGAACCUGAAAUUUGAACAUCAGACUAAUAGCAACACUGGAAGCCAAACGUCAAGCAUGAAUUCUGAGUGAAAAUUACAACUGAUCUAGAAUUUUUUACCCAGUCAAACUUACAGUAGUCAUUUUUAAAUAUCAAGAUCAUUGAAGAUUAUUUCCUAGGAAGCUACUAGAAGAUAUGCGUCCCCAAAAUGGGGAAAACAGAUGGGGAAUUUGGGAACCAGGAGAUCCGGCAAAGGAGAUGCCCAGAAUGUUUGUGAAGUAGGGUUGUAGGGAUGGAGUCUUGAGUCCAGAUGUGAGCAAAUGAGAAGGUUCUAGAAAUUGAUGGUAUGAUAUGCCUUUAACUUCCUGAGUGUCUCAGGAUUGGGAGGUAAUUUUGGAUUCAGUACAUAGAAAACUAAGGUGGAAAAACCCCAAGAUAAUCACAGUUAUUCACUCCAGAAGGGGAAAAGAAGUGCAGGAAGAAAAUGAUACAUUAAUACACAUAAUUCAGCUCUGGAUAAGAUUUACAUCAUCACAAUAAUGGGAAGAAUAGAAUAGAAACUGAUCCAGCCAUAGUUACUACAUAACUGUAUUGGAAGGAUGGAGUGAAGGAAGGGUUUAUAUGCAUGUGGGUGGUGUGUGUGUGUGUGGCGGGGAGGGGGUGGGUGUCUGACAGGAGGAAGGAGGGUCAAAUCUUCAUUCUCCAUGGGGAAAGUCAAGAGACAAUACUAAAAAUGGAAAAGGAGUAAUACAAUUACACUAUUUAGCUCUUUGGUGUAAAUGAAAUAAUCAGUUAAAAGAGUUGAGGAAAUUGGUGGCAUAAGAGACAGGGACCUGCUAGUUUUCAUAAGAAACAUUCUAAAACUAUUUAACCCUUUAUGUGAAUGUGUAAUUUUGAUACAGAUUUUUAAAAAUUAAAAUUAUAUAAUGAAGUUGCCCCUGUCAUUUUGUUAUACUUUUUAAUGUAUGUACACACACACACACACACACACUUGAUUUUCUUGGAGUGCUUGCUAUGGGCCAGAUACUGCAUUGGACCUUGGGAACACAGUGCAAAUGAGAUCAAGUGUAAUUUCCUUCCAUGAAAACUUUCUCUGAAAUUCUGAAAAGUAAAUUUUGAACACAUGCUAUGGAAAAUAAUAGGCCAUAGCAUAGGUCAACUUUCAGCUCGUGAGAUGUCUGUAGAAUCAACCGAAAUCCUCACUAGUAGCUCAAUUAUGUGCCUGCGACUCACUGUUGUCACCUUUUAUCUGUUGUCCUGUUACAUUCUCACACAACCCUAUGAAGGUUCUAUCUGGUUCUGCUAUCAUCCGAAGCUCAGAAGGGGUGAGUAGAUUGCCUAAAAUCUCACAGCAAGUUGGUGGCAGAGCUGGGAUUUGAACCUUGGUCUCCCUGAUUCCAAAUCCAUACCGCAGAUUGCAAUCAGUUGAAAUAUUUUCCCAGGUAACUUGUUCUCUGCAGUGAACAAGAUCAAGCAUCCAUCUUUGGGGGGAGCUAACAUAAAGAUCAUCCUCACAGUGCCUUGUUGAGGAGAAUAAGCCCAACAAGCAGGGGGCAUUAUUAUCUUUAGUUUCUUCUUGAGGGAGAUUUUAGCAGAGUGAGUACCUAAAUUUACCAGGAAGAGUCCACACUCUGGUAGACCAGAAUUCACUUAGCAUCUGUUGAGAACCAUUUACAUCAGACCCUUAGAACUUCAAAAUGAACGAGACACCAACGGGCAUGUGCAUCUCUUGCACUCUGGGUGUAUGAACAUUCAGUGUUAAAACGCUUUGUGUUAAGACCUGAAUUUGUAUGAUUAGGGAGACUGCAUAUUAACUAUCUUUUGUUUAAUUGGUAUUUUGGACCAUGAUAGUUUAAUUUUUAGAAUGGCUUCAUAUAUUCUUAAAAUGAAAUUUCGUUACUCUGGUAAACUUGGAAUAUAUAUUCCUGUCGACUAGCCUUUUCCAAAAGUGUUCUGCAGAGCCAUUAAGAUACCCAUUAAGAUGUUUGUUAAGUCAAGAGCUGAUAGUCUACAAAUUUGGAGAAUCCUGAAUAUCAUAACCUCCUUUAGGAGAUUUACAGUGCACAUUAGCAUGUUAGGUGGUUUUGUAUAUAAGAACUCUGAGGUGGUUUUACAUAUAAGAACCAUAUGUUACUGUAUUUAACCAGAGUUUCCAGUUUUGUUUUGUUUUUUUUGGAACACGGAGUCAUUUUUCCAACUAAUUUUUACUUACGUGGAACACAUUUUAGGUAAUGGGGGACUCCAGGUUAUUUUUCUUUUGCAGAAAAUGUAUACAUCAUGACCUUUAGGCUCCUUUUAGCUCUGAAAUGCUGUGGCUUCACAAUUUUGAUUAUCAGUUUCAUUUGAGACACUUUGACUUAAAAUUUGCUGGGUUAUAAUUGUCAAAUAUAUACCCAAAGUCCUAUUUUACCUUUUAAGUUCUAUCUGAGAUCUUAAAGAUUUGAUUAGGACUAUAUCUUCUUUGAAAUGUAGUUUGGAAAAAUAUACCCCAAAUUACAAAUACUUUCUAAUAAAUUGUUCCAGAAAUUGCAUGUAUCUGUAUGUACAUAUGCAUAUGUGGGCAGACACGUGUAUGUGUGUAUGUAUAAUACAUCCAUACACACAUAGCCUAUGUGGACAUUUUUCAAGUACUCUAUUGUGUCCUACUCUAUACUUGAUUAAGGAAGGAAGUCAUUUAAUUGCUGCAGUGAAUAUCCCGACACAAAAUCUUCGUAUGAUUGGAUGGUUUAUCUGUACAGUAAGCUUCUAGGAAUAUAAUUUCAGGUCAGAAAGUAUAUGCAUCUGAAUUUUAAUAGGUAUUUAUUGUCCAAAAGAGUGGACCAGUUAAUGUGCAGCACCUAUAUGAAAGUUGGUUUUGCCACUCCCAUGCUGGCAAUAGAUGUUAUUGAACUAAAAUCUUAGCUGGUUUUUUUUUUCCUAAAUGGGAAAUUCACUAUCUCAAAAAAGACUAUGUGUCAUGUAUUAUUUUGUAUUUAUUAUUUAUCCAUUUACUUAAUAGAAUUGCAAAGUUAUUUGGGGGCUAGCAAGAAGUGGUCUUUGUGUGCAAGCAGUUACCAUCUGUGAUUAAUAUACAUGAAGUUAAUGACAAUAACUUAAAGCUGAAUUUUAUUAUUAAACAUGGUACAGAAAUGUUUAGUAGUUCAAGCAUUUACUUCUGUUGAAAAUAUUUCUGUGAAAUUUUGCACUAGUAGAUUCUGCCACAGAAAUAAAAUGAUGGUAGACUUUAUGGGAAAAUUGCAGAGAUGACAAACGAGCAUGAAGAUAUUUUUGAAAUUUCCACAUUUUCUUAUGAAAUCUUGUUCUCACUGUCUCUUGUGGGACUGCAAAAAAGACUUUUCGGUCUGCUGUGGAGGGAUGUCAGUAACAUAACUGAUUCAUUCUUUU